rnacentral:rRNA from 1 species
CCUACGGGAGGCAGCAGUGGGGAAUAUUGGGCAAUGGAGGCAACUCUGACCCAGCAACGCCGCGUGAAUGAUGAAGGUCUUCGGAUUGUAAAGUUCUGUGAUGGGGGAUGAACACAAUGACGGUACCCCAAUAGCAAGCCACGGCUAACUACGUGCCAGCAGCCGCGGUAAUACGUAGGUGGCAAGCGUUAUCCGGAAUGACUGGGCGUAAAGGGUGCGUAGGUGGUUUAGUAAGUUGGCGGUGUAAUUCCGGGGCUCAACCUCGGCGCUACCGCCAAAACUAUUAGACUAGAGUGCAGGGGGGGAAAGUGGAAUUCCUGGUGUAGCGGUGGAAUGCGUAGAUAUUAGGAGGAACAUCGGGGGCGAAGGCGACUGACUGGACUGUAACUGACACUGAGGCACGAAAGCGUGGGGAGCAAACAGGAUUAGAUACCCUAGUAGUC